UUGAUUAGCUCUAGGGCCCACUAGUCUGUCUUUCUGGCAGUUCAGGGUACCUGCAAAGUUCUCCUCCAGCGCCACAUUUCAAAGGAAACUAUUCCCCCCCCCCAUGUCAGCUGAUAAUCCUCAAUACGCUGGAAUUCCCGGAGGGGUGGGGUGGGGAUGUAAAAACAUCUCUGAACCUCAAUGAGAACUAGAAUCACUGGGAAUCAUGCCCUCAACACGUCGUAUUUCCUCCCAAGGUAGAUCUGCCUAGUGGGUUGCUGUGCUCUCACUGUUGGGGAAGUAGGGAAGAAAAUGCAGCUGAGGGAGCAGUGUAGCCUAGUGGUUGGCGUUUUGGCCCAAAUGCGGCUGGAUUAGCAUUGACUGCGUCCAUGUGGCCACAAGAGGGCUGUAUAAGAUCCUGAGAGAGAAAGAGAGAGACUUCUCUCUCUCUCUCUCUCUCUCCCCCCCCUCCCCCGGGUGUUUUACUUCAGAGAAAGAAAUACGGAGUUUCCCACGACUUGCGUCACCAAGUGCAAUCCGGGGCCCCCUUUCCCUCCCCCCCUCUUCCCCUUCGAAGCAAAAGAGCGGAUGCUUCUUCUCUCCAUCACCAUCAGCUGCUGGAAGAUAGAGCCAGGGCGCGAGGCAGGGGCGCGCGAGUGCGAACGUGGCAGCCAAGCGCACGUGUGAAUGAACAAAGCGCCUCUCCCGGCGAGGAUCCCAAUCCGUGUCUAUUGUCUGGUAGGAAGAGGAGCGGCUGGCCGGGGUUUUGGAAAGAGUUCUGGAAGCUGAAGUCCCACGAAGAAGCGUGUCCAAACUCUGCGAGAGGAGUGGAUGUAUUGAUUUCUUUUAUUUUUAAACUCCAAAAUGCUCAGCAUCAGGAUGGGACCGUGCAGGACGGAAGGAUAAGGAUGCGCUGUUUCUGACAGGCUGUACAUCCAGUCCAUCUUUCUAACUAGAAAUCUUCUUAUCUGUUCCUGGAAUUCUGACAGCGAAAUGGAACGUACUAUAACUUGGUUAGGGGUUUAUCGAAAGCAGGGGUGAAAGCAACAGAAAAGGAACAGACUGGUGAUAUUCUUCAGUGAGACUCCCAGUGCUAGGUGGACUUCUUCCCCAUUUACAAACAGCAGGUGGGAGGGGGAGCUUUGCCAACUGCUGAUGCAACUCUUGCAUGUCUCAGAGAUGAAGCUGAUCCCGUUUGCAUCCCUUCAGGUGAAAAGGUGAAGGCUGUAGCGAUACAGCAGGUGCACAAACCUCUUGCAUUUCAGGUGCAGAAAUGAGUAUCUCUGAUGUGUUCAAAAAAGAAAAUGAGGAUAAUGCUGGAGUUUUGCUGUACAUACAGUAGGUUCCCCUAUCCACAGGGAAUUGGUUCCAGCCCCCGCAGAUGCUGAAAAAUGCGGAUUAUAGCAAAUGCUAUUACUGUAUAAAAGUGAACACUGUGCAUAGCUUGGGAAUACAGUAUGUAUACUUUUUUGGAAUACAGUGGUGCCUCGCAUAACGAGCGCCCCGUUUAACGACGAAUCCGCAUAGCGAUGCAGAUUUUGCAAUCGCAAAGCGAUCGCAUUGCGAUGUUUUGCCAACAGCUGAUCGGCGGUUCCAAAUUGGCUGCCAGGUCAACAAAAUGGCUGCCCGUAGCAUUUUUGCGCGGUUCCCUCGCUUACCAAGGCGGCGAAAAUGGCGGCCGGAUGGAAGAUCUCCGCAUAACGGUGAGUUUUUCCCCCAUAGGAAUGCAUUAAACGGGGUUUAAUGCGUUCCUAUGGGUUUUUUUGCCCCGUAUAGCGACCAUUCCGGAUAGCGACGAUUUAUCCGGAACGGCUUAUCGUCACUAUGUGGGGCACCACUGUAUUUUUAAAAAAUAUUUUUCAGACUAUGGGUAAGUGGAUCUGCGGAUGCUGAUCCUGCAGAUAAGGGGGUCCUACUAUAUUUGGAUCCCAGAUCUCUGGAGAUCUCCCACCACAGUAUACAAUGUUGCACUGCCCUUAGCAGAAGAAGGCCACUUCCAGAUAAACCCCUGCAAUCCUUCCAUGAGAAUUUUGAACUAUGGCAGGAAAUUGCAAACUGCUGGCAUUGGCGCAGAAAGAGGAGAUUCACCUCAUUGUGCUUACAUGAAAGUGGCUGACUUGAUCACGUGGAAAUAAUACUGAGUUUUGAGAAGGUGGUCUUUCCAUGUCUUCUGGUAUAUCUUAGCUUUGUUUUAUCUGUGGGUGGUGAUCAGAUAGUUGUAAAAACAUACAUCUAAUUGUAUUGGAAAAGGUUGCUUUGUUGGGAGCGGUCUUCCUGAAACUGCCCUUCCUUCUGCUGGGGAAAUCACUUCAGCCUGCCCCUCCCCAAAGCCCUCCAGCUGGACCAAAAUAUUUUGCUUAUCUAUCAUACCUGUAGAGAAGUGAGAGUGAUCUUAACCGACCAGAUAGGCGGGAUAUAAAUAAAAUAAAUAAAUAAAUAAGGUCCA
ensembl:lncRNA